rnacentral:snoRNA from 1 species
UUAAGCAAUGUGCACUUGCUGUAAAUAUGGACAGAUAUCAAUUAACAAUGUAGGAAUUAAGUGGGCAUUUGAUAAGAGUGUACUGGUGCCCAUAAAGAAUCUACGUUACAUUG